AGUGAACGCUGGCGGCAGGCCUAAUACAUGCAAGUCGAACGGCAGCACAGUGGAGCUUGCUCCAUGGGUGGCGAGUGGCGGACGGGUGAGGAAUACAUGGGAAUCUGCCCAGUCGUGGGGGAUAACGUAGGGAAACUUACGCUAAUACCGCAUGCGCCCUUCGGGGGAAAGCCGGGGACCUUCGGGCCUGGCGCGAUUGGAUGAGCCCAUGUUCGAUUAGCUAGUUGGCGGGGUAAAGGCCCACCAAGGCGACGAUCGAUAGCUGGUCUGAGAGGAUGAUCAGCCACACUGGGACUGAGACACGGCCCAGACUCCUACGGGAGGCAGCAGUAGGGAAUAUUGGACACUGGGCGCAAGCCUGAUCCAGCCAUGCCGCGUGAGUGAAGAAGGCCCUCGGGUUGUAAAGCUCUUUUGUCCGGGAAGAAAAGCAUCGGGCUAAUACCUCGGUGUUCUGACGGUACCGGAAGAAUAAGCACCGGCUAACUUCGU
rnacentral:rRNA from 1 species